GCCCUGGGUUCAAAUUUGGCUUCAGACACUUCCCAGCUGCGUGAUCCUGGUCAAGUCACUUGACCCCCAUUGCUUAGCACUUACCACUCUUCUGCCUUAGAACCAAUACACAAUAUUGUUUCUAAGAUAGAAGGUAAGGGUUUGAAAAAAAUUAAAGGAAAAGCAAUUAAAAUAAAUAUAAAGCCAGUAAUAAAAUGAAAUGUGCCAAGGUUAUACUGUUGAAAAAGUAAUUGUGCUAUUUCUAAAUCCCUUCUUGUGUGUUCUGGAUCUUCAAGCUGAAAGCUUUGUUUUCUUUUUUUUUUUUUGUUAAUAGAUUUAAGAAACAGCUAACUGCUGAAGUUUAUAGAAUAUUAAACUUGCAAUCUGAAAAGUCUGAUUUAAAAUCCUUCCUCAGGUUCGGGAAGAUGACAAACAGACAUGAAAUGAUAGAUCUAUUCUCACUGAAGAUAAUAGUGGAACUCAGCCAACUCCUUUAUCUGCCUCUGACAAGAACUCAUUUGCCAUUCUUCCAUUUAGAUGCAAUUGCUUCUGGUUUCAUUUAUGGGCAUGCUGAGCCGCCUCCACCUCACAGAAAAUGGGCCCUCAACUAGAGAAUAUAAGUAGAUUUCUUCAGAAGUUUAAAGUCAAAAGAUAAACAUAAGGGACAGCCCCAAUUCCAAAGAAAUAGUACUUGACCUCUAACAGAGAGGAGAUAAACUCAAGAUGAAGGAUGAGGCAUAAUUUUAGAACUGGCCAAUAAGAAGUUACCUUGAUUCUUUUGUAGACUUAAUACAAUUUUUUCCUUCUUUUCUUUCAGUAGAGUGGGGGCAGGGUAAGAUAGGAGAGAGGGAAAAAGUUAAUUAACAAGAAAAGUAAAAUAAGGAAGCUUAAGAAAAUUUCAUACAUAGAGACACACCAGAUUCAGAAAUCUCCAGUAACAAAUUUAUUAAAUCUACCAAGAGAAAAGAACUGCAACUCCUUCCAGACCUGGAUUCAGCAUUGAAUACCGCUAUCGACAUAGAUUGAUUUUUGCAGGCCCAACCAUGUCUUUCGUGUCAUUCAUAUACUAUGAAUCAGCCCAAGCUGAAUAACUAUCAUUCAUAAAACAAUCAUCUAUACGUGCAUCCAUAACUACUUCAGGAAAAUCACUUAGGAGAAUAUGAUGUUUAGAUUUCUAGGAGAAAGUUCCAUUUAUUCCCUUUUCUUCUGAUUCCUCAGGUGAUUUUUAGGGACCCAGAUUAAAGAAGAGGGUGUCAACGUGGAUUUUUUGGAUGUCUCAGUUUACCCUUACCUUUGAGAAAACCCCAGUGCCAAGUACCCCUAUUUUGGUUUGAAUGUUAAGUACCUUUUUGUUUUGGAGGCUUCUCUAUUGGAUAAAAGUUUUCCUCUCAUGAAGCCCAGAUUCUUAGUUUGACCUUUGAUUUGUUAUAGCGAAUGCUUCUUUUUUCUUUUUUUCAUAUGAAUUUUCUUUUAUUGAUUAAGAAAAUAUUUCCAUGGUUACAUGAUUCAUGUUCUCUCCCUCCCCUACUCACACACCCCUCCCAUAGGCAACUCACAACUCCACUGGGUUUUACAUGUCAUUGAUCAAGACCUAUUACCUAUUUCCAUAUU
ensembl:lncRNA